rnacentral:rRNA from 1 species
GGCCUUCGGGUUGUAAACCUCUUUCAGUAGGGAAGAAGCGAAAGUGACGGUACCUGCAGAAGAAGCGCCGGCUAACUACGUGCCAGCAGCCGCGGUAAUACGUAGGGCGCAAGCGUUAUCCGGAAUUAUUGGGCGUAAAGAGCUCGUAGGCGGUUUGUCGCGUCUGCCGUGAAAGUCCGGGGCUCAACUCCGGAUCUGCGGUGGGUACGGGCAGACUAGAGUGAUGUAGGGGAGACUGGAAUUCCUGGUGUAGCGGUGAAAUGCGCAGAUAUCAGGAGGAACACCCGUGGCGAAGGCAGGUCUCUGGGCAUUAACUGACGCUGAGGAGCGAAAGCAUGGGGAGCGAACAGGAUUAGAUACCCUGGUAGUCCAUGCCGUAAACGUUGGGCACUAGGUGUGGGGGACAUUCCACGUUUUCCGCGCCGUAGCUAACGCAUUAAGUGCCCCGCCUGGGGAGUACGGCCGCAAGGCUGAAACUCAAAGGAAUUGACGGGGGCCCGCACAAGCGGUGGAGCAUGUGGUUUAAUUCGAAGCAACGCGAAGAACCUUACCAGGUCUUGACAUCCUCUGAUACUCCUAGAGAUAGGACGUUCCCCUUCGGGGGACAGAGUGACAGGUGGUGCAUGGUUGUCGUCAGCUCGUGUCGUGAGAUGUUGGGUUAAGUCCCGCAACGAGCGCAACCCUUGAUCUUAGUUGCCAGCAU